AGAAUCAACGCUGGCGGCGUGCCUAACACAUGCAAGUCGAACGCGAAAGUCCCGAAAGGGAUAAGUAGAGUGGCAAACGGGUGAGUAACACGUGGGUGACCUGCCUUCAAGUGGGGGAUAACGUCCCGAAAGGGACGCUAAUACCGCAUAACAUAGCUGCCUUUUAACAGGCGGACAUCAAAGCUGGGGAUCGCAAGACCUAGCGACUAGAAGAGGGGCCCGCGCCUGAUUAGCUUAGUUGGUGGGGUAAUGGGCUCACCAAGGCACGAUCAGUA
rnacentral:rRNA from 1 species